rnacentral:rRNA from 1 species
UACGAAGGGGGCUAGCGUUGCUCGGAAUGACUGGGCGUAAAGGGCGUCGUAGGCGGCUCAUACAGUCAGAUGUGAAAUUCCUGGGCUUAACCUGGGGGCUGCAUUUGAUACGUGUGGGCUUGAGUGGGGAAGAGGGUCGUGGAAUUCCCAGUGUAGAGGUGAAAUUCGUAGAUAUUGGGAAGAACACCGGUGGCGAAGGCGGCGACCUGGUCCUUGACUGACGCUGAGGCGCGAAAGCGUGGGGAGCAAACAGG